rnacentral:rRNA from 1 species
GAUGAACGCUGGCGGCGUGCUUAACACAUGCAAGUCGAGCGAAGCGAUUUAAGUGAAGUUUUCGGAUGGAUCUUAGAUUGACUGAGCGGCGGACGGGUGAGUAACGCGUGGAUAACCUGCCUCACACAGGGGGAUAACAGUUAGAAAUGACUGCUAAUACCGCAUAAGCGCACGGUACCGCAUGGUACAGUGUGAAAAACUCCGGUGGUGUGAGAUGGAUCCGCGUCUGAUUAGGUAGUUGGUGAGGUAACGGCCCACCAAGCCGACGAUCAGUAGCCGACCUGAGAGGGUGACCGGCCACAUUGGGACUGAGACACGGCCCAAACUCCUACGGGAGGCAGCAGUGGGGAAUAUUGCACAAUGGGCGAAAGCCUGAUGCAGCAACGCCGCGUGAGUGAAGAAGUAUCUCGGUAUGUAAAGCUCUAUCAGCAGGGAAGAAAAUGACGGUAC